GAUGUCAAGUCAGCAUGGCCUUUAUAUCCUGGGCUACACACACGCUACAAUGGCCAACACAAUAGGUUGCUAAGCCGCGAGGUGGCGCCAAUACCAUAAAGUUGGUCUCAGUUCAGAUUGUAGGCUGCAACCCGCCUGCAUGAAGAUGGAGUUGCUAGUAACCGCAGGUCAGCUAUACUGCGGUGAAUACGUUCCCGGGGCUU
rnacentral:rRNA from 1 species